rnacentral:rRNA from 1 species
UAGAGUUUGAUCCUGGCUCAGAUCGAACGCUGGCGGCAGGCCUAACACAUGCAAGUCGAGCGGCAGCGGGAAAGUAGCUUGCUACUUUUGCCGGCGAGCGGCGGACGGGUGAGUAAUGCCUGGGGAUCUGCCCAGUCGAGGGGGAUAACUACUGGAAACGGUAGCUAAUACCGCAUACGCCCUACGGGGGAAAGCAGGGGACCUUCGGGCCUUGCGCGAUUGGAUGAACCCAGGUGGGAUUAGCUAGUUGGUGAGGUAAUGGCUCACCAAGGCGACGAUCCCUAGCUGGUCUGAGAGGAUGAUCAGCCACACUGGAACUGAGACACGGUCCAGACUCCUACGGGAGGCAGCGGGGGGGAAUAUUGCACAAUGGGGGAAACCCUGAUGCAGCCAUGCCGCGUGUGUGAAGAAGGCUUUCGGUUUGUAAAGCACUUUCAGUGAGGACGAAAGGUUGGUAGCUAUAUAUCUGCCAGCUGUGUCGUUACUGCCAGAAGAAGCACCGGCUAACUCCGUGCCAGCUGCCGCGGUAAUACGGAGGGUGCAAGCGUUAAUCGGAAUUUCUGGGCGUAAAGCGCACGCAGGCGGUUGGAUAAGUUCAGAUGUGAAAGCCCCGGGCUCAACCUGGGAAUCGCAUAUAAAACUGUCCAGCUAGAGUGUUGUAGAGGGGGGUAGAAUUCCAGGUGUAGCGGUGAAAUGCGUAGAGAUCUGGAGGAAUACCGGUGGCGAAGGCGGCCCCCUG